AUUGAACGCUGGCGGCAGGCCUAACACAUGCAAGUCGAACGGUAACAGGAAGCAGCUUGCUGCUUCGCUGACGAGUGGCGGACGGGUGAGUAAUGUCUGGAAGGUGGCUGAAGGAAGGGGAUAAAUACCGGAAAAGGGAGCCAAAAACGGAUAAUGGCGCAAGACCAAAGAGGGGGGACUUCGGGCCUCUUGGCAUCGGAUGUGGCCAGAUGGGAUUAGCUUGUUGGUGGGGUAACGGCUCACCAAGGCGACGAUCCCUAGCUGGUCUGAGAGGAUGACCAGCCACACUGGGACUGAGACACGGUCCAGACUCCUACGGGAGGCAGCAGUGGGGAAUAUUGCACAAUGGGCGCAAGCCUGAUGCAGCCAUGCCGCGUGUAUGAAGAAGGCCUUCGGGUUGUAAAGUACUUUCAGCGGGGAGGAAGGGAGUAAAGUUAAUACCUUUGCUCAUUGACGUUACCCGCAGAAGAAGCACCGGCUAACUCCGUG
rnacentral:rRNA from 1 species